UACAGAGGGUGCGAGCGUUGUUCGGAAUUAUUGGGCGUAAAGGGCGCGUAGGCGGCCUGUUAAGUCGAACGUGAAAUCCCUGGGCUCAACCCAGGAACUGCGUCCGAUACUGGCAGGCUUGAAUCCGGGAGAGGGAUGUGGAAUUCCAGGUGUAGCGGUGAAAUGCGUAGAUAUCUGGAGGAACACCGGUGGCGAAGGCGGCAUCCUGGACCGGUAUUGACGCUGAUGCGCGAAAGCCAGGGGAGCAAACGGG
rnacentral:rRNA from 1 species